CGGUUAACAUAACUGUUUUGGAUACUCAAUACGGCAACACAUGCAGGAUAUUACAGCUAAAGAUACUAUGUUGCCAUAUGAGGGGUUAAUCACUAGAUUUCUUCAUGCCUAUGAUAUUUGCAUCCCACCCGAUGAAGAAACAAUUCAAAGUGAUAGAUAUAACAUCAUCAAUAAAAAUCUACUAAAGAGACUUAGGUGCACAUUUAACAAUGGAAUAUGGAUAAGGCAACCUAGAAGGACUGAUCCUAUUCCUCCACCAGUAGAACAACCAGAAACACCAAUUUUUAGGGGAAAUGAAUCUCCUCCUCUUA
rnacentral:lncRNA from 1 species